rnacentral:rRNA from 1 species
GACGAACGCUGGCGGCGUGCCUAAUACAUGCAAGUUGAGCGCUGAAGGUUGGUACUUGUACCAACUGGAUGAGCAGCGAACGGGUGAGUAACGCGUGGGGAAUCUGCCUUUGAGCGGGGGACAACAUUUGGAAACGAAUGCUAAUACCGCAUAAAAACUUUAAACACAAGUUUUAAGUUUGAAAGAUGCAAUUGCAUCACUCAAAGAUGAUCCCGCGUUGUAUUAGCUAGUUGGUGAGGUAAAGGCUCACCAAGGCGAUGAUACAUAGCCGACCUGAGAGGGUGAUCGGCCACAUUGGGACUGAGACACGGCCCAAACGCCUACGGGAGGCAGCAGUAGGGAAUCUUCGGCAAUGGACGAAAGUCUGACCGAGCAACGCCGCGUGAGUGAAGAAGGUUUUCGGAUCGUAAAACUUUGUUGGUAGAGAAGAACGUUGGUGAGAGUGGAAAGCUCAUCAAGUGACGGUAACUACCCAGAAAGGGACGGCUAACUACGUG